UACGUAGGGUCCGAGCGUUGUCCGGAUUUAUUGGGCGUAAAGAGCUCGUAGGCGGCUUGUCGCGUCGACUGUGAAAACCCGCAGCUUAACUGCGGGACUGCAGUCGAUACGGGCAGGCUAGAGUUCGGUAGGGGAGACUGGAAUUCCUGGUGUAGCGGUGAAAAUGCGCAGAUAUCAGGAGGAACACCGGUGGCGAAGGCGGGUCUCUGGGCCAUAACUGACGCUGAGGAGCGAAAGCGUGGGGAGCGAACAGG
rnacentral:rRNA from 1 species